rnacentral:rRNA from 1 species
CAGACUCCUACGGGAGGCAGCAGUGGGGAAUAUUGGACAAUGGGCGAAAGCCUGAUCCAGCAAUGCCGCGUGAGUGAUGAAGGCCUUAGGGUUGUAAAGCUCUUUUACCCGGGAUGAUAAUGACAGUACCGGGAGAAUAAGCCCCGGCUAACUCCGUGCCAGCAGCCGCGGUAAUACGGAGGGGGCUAGCGUUGUUCGGAAUUACUGGGCGUAAAGCGCACGUAGGCGGCUUUGUAAGUUAGAGGUGAAAGCCCGGAGCUCAACUCCGGAACUGCCUUUAAGACUGCAUCGCUUGAAUCCGGGAGA